GACGAACGCUGGCGGCGUGCUUAACACAUGCAAGUCGAACGAAGUGGCGAACGGGUGAGUAACGUGUAUUCAACCUGCCCUUCUGUGGGGGACAACAGUUGGAAACGACUGCUAAUACCGAAUACUGAUGGUGGGGUUUGUGUUGGAUUAGCUAGUUGGGGGGGGAACGGCCCACCCAGGCGAUGAUCAGUAGCCGGGCUGAGGAGGUGGACGGCCACAUUGGGACUUGGGCACGGCCCAGGCACCUACGGGGGGCAGCAGGGGGGGAAUUUCCGCAAUGGACGAAAGUCUGGCGGAACAACGCCGCGUGAGUGGUGACGGCCUUCGGGUUGUAAAGCUCUGUUAAUCGGGACGCGGUACCGGAAGAGAAAGCCACGGCUAACUACGUGCCAGCAGCCGCGGUAAUUC
rnacentral:rRNA from 1 species